rnacentral:tRNA from 1 species
GGAGAGGUCGCAUAGAGGCCUAGUGCGCUACCUUGGAAAGGUAGUAUACCGGCAACGGUAUCGAGAGUUCGAAUCUCUCCCUCUCCGCCA